rnacentral:rRNA from 1 species
GUAGGGAAUAUUGGGCAAUGGAUGCAAGUCUGACCCAGCCAUCCCGCGUGCCGGAAGAAGGCCCUCAGGGUUGAAAACGGCUUUUGACGGUGAAGAAUCGACAGCAUGCGUCCUGUUUUGACGGUAGCCGUUGAAUAAGCACCGGCUAACUCCGUGCCAGCAGCCGCGGUAAUACGGAGGGUGCGAGCGUUGUCCGGAUUUAUUGGGUUUAAAGGGUGCGUAGGCUGGAAGGUCAGUCAGCGGUGAAAAGCUGUCGCUUAACGAUAGUCUUGCCGCAGAUACUUCCUUUCUUGGAUGAGGAGGAGGCCACUGGAACGGAUGGUGUAGCGGUGAAAUGCAUAGAUAUCAUCCAGAACACCGAUUGCGAAGGCAGGUGGCUGUACCUUAAUCGACGCUGAUGCACGAAAGCAUGGGGAGCAAACAGGAUUAGAUACCCUGGUAGUCC